UACGGAGGGGGCGAGCGUUAUUCGGAAUUAUUGGGCGUAAAGGGCGCGUAGGCGGCCCGGUAAGUCAAAGGUGAAAUCCCUCGGCUCAACUGAGGAACUGCCUUUGAAACUGCUGGGCUUGAGUCCGGGAGGGGGUAGCGGAAUUCCCAGUGUAGCGGUGAAAUGCGUAGAUAUCUGGAGGAACACCGGUGGCGAAGGCGGCAUCCUGGACCGACACUGACGCUGAGGAGCGAAAGCCAGGGGAGCAAACGGG
rnacentral:rRNA from 1 species